CAGAUCUGAAUGCAUUUUUUGCUACGUGCUGAGUGAACUCUAUUACUGCCUCUUCGGAAUUGGUAAAAGUGAAACUUCUCAUCAAAUCUUUGAUUUUGGGGAAAAACAGAAAUCAUUGACACAGACACCGGAAUUGUCUCAUAGGUCAGCGCUUCGCGAUGCAAGAGAUAAAAUACAUGCUGAGUGAGAUGGUCCUAACUUCAAGUUAUUCCCCACUGUCAAGAACUUCAAGCCAACCAUGAAAGUAGACCUGGUCCUCAGAACCGAUGAUCCUAUCCGCAUUAAGUUAGCUCUGCGAUAAAGAAAUACUGCUCAUUGGGAUCCUAGACCUAUAUAAUAAUAAUAAUGUAUGUAUAGUAUUUGAUAAUAAAUAUGUAUCUACCUAUAAUAAGGAAUGCUUUAUCUACAUUCACUCAGCAGAAUGUGUAUUUAUUUAUUUUA